GAUGAAGAACGUAGUGAAAUGCGAUACGUAAUGUGAAUUGCAAAUUCAGUGAAUCAUCGAGUCUUUGAACGCACAUUGCGCCCCCUGGUAUUCCGGGGGGCAUGCCUGUCCGAGCGUCAUUGCUGCCCUCAAGCACGGCUUGUGUGUUGGGCCCCGUCCUCCGAUUCCGGGGGACGGGCCCGAAAGGCAGCGGCGGCACCGCGUCCGGUCCUCGAGCGUAUGGGGCUUUGUCACCCGCUCUGUAGGCCCGGCCGGCGCUUGCCGAUCAACCCAAAUUUUUAUCCAGGUUGACCUCGGAUCAGGUAGGGAUACCCGCUGAACUUAAGCAUAUCAAUAAGCGGAGGA
rnacentral:misc_RNA from 1 species